rnacentral:lncRNA from 1 species
CCUGAGCAGGGAUCCGAUGCUGGAGCUGGAUCCCAGGACCCUGAGAUUGUGACCUGAGCGGGAAGCAAGAGCUGGAGACUUAACCGACUGAGCCAUCCAGGUUCCCCAGGAAGAAGGCAUUCUUAAAAAGGAGAUUACCUCGACCAGCCAGAAAUCUGCAUAAAGACUUUCACGUUUCUUCUAUUUUUCCAGGGAAAGCCAAGCAUGAGGGCCCACAGGCAGGCCUGUGAGGAGGCCCAUGUAGAGAACAACUGAAGUCUUCUGCAACUUUCCAGAUAAAGGAGCGAGCCCCUUUGGAAGCAGCACUUGCGGCCCUAAUCACGCCUUCUACUGAUAAAAGCACCUGUUAAAACCUGAUUGUACUCUCAUCAAAGACCCUGAAAUAGAACUAUCCAAUCAAGCUACUUUAAAAUUGCCAACCCACAGAAACCAUGAAAGGUAUUUUUUUCUUGCUUUGAGCCUCCAGGUUUUGGGAUGAUUUGUCACAAAGCUUUAGGCG